rnacentral:tRNA from 1 species
AGCAAGAUAAGCUAAAAAUUAAGCUUUUGGGCCCAUACCCCAAAUAUGUUGGAGAAACCCCUUCUUUUGCUA